CGGAUUUACUGGGUCUGUGCCCGGGCUCAACGCCGCCGAGGAUUCAUAAGGUGACUUAUCGAUCUAUCGUUGCCUUCCUUGUGGAGUCGAGGGACGACUAGUCGCUCUGGCCGGCCUUGGGGGCGGAUUGGUCGCCGACGGAGUGUGGCAGUGGCAGACAAGAAAGAUGGUGCAUGGCAGGGCCUCAUCUUCGAUGGGUGACGGUCAUGAUCCGAUGGGAGGCGCAAGUGCGAGGGCUUGGGCGGCUAGUUUGGCGGAUGGUGGCUCAUCGCCAUCGGGCAUUUGCCUAGGCCUAACUAGCACAUUAUUGAAUCAUGUCUUGUUAGGUUUGCCACUGCACAGGCGUGAAAGGGAAGCCCAACUAAAGAGCCUGGGCCUAAAGGAUUAUCAAGCCCACUGGACAAGCAACCGGCCGAGCAUCAAAGCCCUAGCUAGUUCCCCUUCCCUAUUAAUAUUAUAGAAGGGGAACCACUGGACAAGGAAAAAACACCAGUCAACAGGAGUGGAGAGGAUAGAGCGGCGGCGCGGAUUCAUUCGCCCGCGUCCGCUGCCGCGGCCGCGUCCACACGCCGGAGGAGGAGAAGCUGGGAGCGCGUGAGGCUGCUCUCGUUACUUAGCGAAAUCUUUUCUAUGACAUCCUGUUAGGUUUCUUUUUGGCAUUUUUCUUCUCUACGCAGAGGCGACAGAAAUGGAGCUUUCGGACUUCUGGUUGACAUGGAUUGCCAUUCUUCUGGGUCAAAUGGACACAAGGCCGUGUUCAGUUUUAGCUUGCCUGGCUCUUUUGUAUGUGAUUUACAAAUCAGCUUCCAGGCCUAUCAGACUUGUCGGGAGCUAUUUGGUUGCCUUGUCUGUCUCUGUCUGGAGCUAUUUGGUUGCCUUGUUUGUCUUUGUUCUCCCCUUCUUCAUGGACUGCACCAGAGGAUUAUUGUGGCUCAUGUGGUUAUGUGUUAUGAUGGGUGGUGGCAAAAAGUGCUGGUAUCAUUUUGUGAUUCCAACGAUUGCUAUGGCUGUUCAUUUCCUACGUAUUGUUCCUCCUAUUGCGCUGUCGCUUCUGCCUUCCUGUGUGCUUAAUGCUAUUACUUAUUGGGUAAAUUUCUUCUCAUAUAACUGGAGGAAUGUCAGUUGGAUAUUAUGCUACAAGUCCGUUGACAAAGAUAGUUCCAAAGCGUCACAAACAUAACACAUGUAUUUGCACAAAAGAAGGUGUCAUUCUUUGGAGUGGGUUCAUCAAAUGCUUAUUGAAAACCUAUGACAACCAAAAGAGCUGGGCGGGAGAGUUUGAGCUAAAUGAUUUAAGAGUGUAUGAUACAGUUUCCAGAAUCGAAACAACUCCUCUUUAUGAGGCUCAUUUUGCUAAUCUGCUUCUUGACUUGUCAAAAAUGGCAAAGUUACUAUCAGGUCUCCAUAUGAGUAAUAUUCAGAAUCCAGGUCAGCUUCCGCUGAAUGUGAAACAGCUGAUUGCUCUUAUGACCGAGCCUCCAGUUAGUGUGAAUUCCCCAGAGGAAGAAAAGAAAGUGUAUCUUAAGUAUCUCUGCAACAAUCCCGCUGUUAAAUUGACUGGACGACGCGAGGCUCUGAACAGAAGUAUCUUGAACUUAAGACAAGCAGGUGCAGGCCACAAUGCUUCUGCCGAUGCUUUGACAACUUGGUUGAGCGUCCUGAUGAACUCCACUGGCUGGGCACUUGGUGCUUUAUGGGCUGCUGCUUUGUUGGGAUUAGUGGACGGAUUGUCUGUCCCUUGUUUAGUGUUGGUGUAUCCCUUUUUACAUCAAAUCUACAAAUCAGCAGCUGUCUUGACUGUAAGAAGUGCUGGGCAAUCAGAUGCAUUUAAGUGGCUGACAUAUUUAAUAAUGGAAAUGGGAGUUCUGAUGGACAACAAUGAAAGGUUUGGUGAUGUAUUGUUGGUUUGCAGCUCUAUGGUGGCAAUGGCCAUGAAAGUGGUUGUAUUCUGCUUGGCCUGCCUUGCGAUUCCAUUUGGUCGUGUAUUCACAGUGUUAUGCCCCUUUGGUCGUGUAGACACAGUGUUAUGCUCAGUGUUGCCUUUGCCAGUACUUGUGUACUUGAUUUAUAUAUCAGCCCCCAUGUUCAUCAAAGUCGUGGGACGGGGCAUCCAAGUUGCAGGAUGGGGCAUCCAAAUUGCUGGAGGCUUGGCCGCAUCACGUAUUGGAGGCCCAGUUAUCUUGCACGCUUAAAGAUUAGCAUUCUGUCUCAUGUAUGUAAAUCUUCUGGUUGAUGGUGGCACAAGGUGGUUGGUUCUGUUUUUCCCCCUUGUUCAGUUUCUUUACCUUGUGUCCGCUCUUGCUCCCAUAGUCGAAUGGCUGAUGGUGCUUCUGCUGCCCACGGAUCUACUUAAUGUCAUGAGUUACUUGGUCAUAGGAGAGAUGUCAGUUCAAAGAUAUUCCCGAAGACCAUUGACCAAAAAAGUCCGGCUGCAGCACAACAACUUUGAUCUCCUGAUUCUCAGCCAAGAGGGAGUGGACCUUUGGCUUGGAUUUAUGAAGUGCAUUGUCUCAUCUUAUUACAAUCAGAGAAGUUGGGGCGGAACAUUCCAUCUAAAGCACAUGAGAGUGCGCGGAUCUGAAUUCAAGAUCCAACUCAUUCCUGUUUACAAGGGCACUUUUAAGAACCUGCUACUGGACUUGUCGAGGCUGGCGACACUGCUGUCAGGCUUUUAUAGGCCUAACAUUGAGAACCAAGAUCAGCUCCCGCUAUAUUUGAAGCAUUUGAUGGCCGUUAUGACCAGACCGCGCGUGGAUUCAGCUUCAUCUGAGCAGCAGAAAGGAAGAUUCUUGAAGUUUCUGCUCAAUCAUCCUACUCUGAAGUCUGCUGGGCGCCGGAAGGCUCUAAUGAGAGAUAUCCAAGAAGCAAUUGCUGGAAUGGAUGAAGCAGAAUCGAGAAGGGUGAUGCAGUCUGUCGGUAAGAUUCGGAUGACCAGGAGAUCUUGGAGGAGAGAACCUAGGAAAGUUCCGUUAAUGAGAAAGGUCUUGUACUUCGGGCAAGGAGGUAAAACCCACACUAAGCAAGGCUAUGAUACUACCGCAGCUCAGCUGUUAAGAUUCAUCAGAAAUUUUUACGCGCACACUGGAGGCCGUACUACAUAUCUUCCUGGCCGGCACUUGAUGAUUAGCAUGCUUGAAGGAGAAUUGGCCAUGUCACACCUUUUCUCGGAUUUUAUGGCAGAAGCGAUCUACGGGCUUGUCAUGGAUACUGGCAUGCAUGGCCAGCUUGAAGGUGCAUGGGAACCGUAUGCUGAUUGAGCAGUAGCAGUCCUUAGUUGAGCAAGAAGAUCUUUGAGCUUUGGCUGUGCUGAGGAAGAGGUUAGGAUUGCCGCUGAAUGCCACAACAGGCAGCUCCAAUUGUAGUUACGCGAUGAAGAUGAGAAGGGAUGUCAUUUGUAUUUGUUGGUUAUUAGGUUAACCGCAGUCCUCGACAUUACUAUAUGCUAUCGAUGGGUGCAAACCGUCAUCAGUCUAGCUGGCUGUUUCUCUUUAGAUGUUGGGUAAGUGUUAUGCUGUUGAUGGAUGGUGCUAUCCCCGUUGCUGCCGAUCUUUCUUCUUCCUUCUUUGGUGAAGUAUCUUCCAGCGAUUGUAACUCAGAACUGUCAGUAGUAAAAAUGCUUAGUUCAGUUCUGCUCCAUUACUUUUAUGUACAGCGCACUGUUGGAAACAUUGGAUGGCACUGUUUGAAAGUGAAUGAGCACAGUUCCACAGCCAGUUCCGUGGAAGUUUUUUUUAUAGAA